AACGGCCGCGGUAUCCUAACCGUGCGAAGGUAGCGUAAUCACUUGUUCUUUAAAUGAGGACUAGUAUGAAUGGCACCACGAGGGUUAAACUGUCUCCUUUUUUUAAUCAGUGAAACUAAUCUCCCCGUGAAGAAGCGGGGAUUCUUUUAUAAGACGAGAAGACCCUAUGGAGCUUUAAACAAGUUAACACCUGCUACUAAUCUUCACUUUCCUGAACCACCACAUUAAGUAUAGCACCUCUGAUUAACAGUUUUCGAUUGGGGUGAUCAUGGAGCAAAAAUCAACCUCCACGACGAAAAGGAACACCUCCUUGAGCCAAAAGCUACAACUUGAAGCACUAAAAAACUAACGCACUUUGACCCAAUUCUUUGAGCAACGAACCAAGUUACCCUAGGGAUAACAGCGCAAUCCACUUUAAGAGCUCCUAUCGACAAGUGGGUUUACGACCUCGAUGUUGGAUCAGGGUAUCCCAGUGGUG
rnacentral:rRNA from 1 species